rnacentral:rRNA from 1 species
AUUGAACGCUGGCGGCAGGCCUAACACAUGCAAGUCGAACGGAGUGGCGGACGGGUGAGUAAUGCCUAGGAAUCUGCCUGGUAGUGGGGGAUAACUUCUGGAAACGGUCGCUAAUACCGCAUACCAUCAGAUGUGCCCAGGUCGGAUUAGCUAGUCGGUGGGGUAAAGGCUCACCUAGGCGACGAUCCGUAACUGGUCUGAGAGGAUGAUCAGUCACACUGGAACUGAGACACGGUCCAGACUCCUACGGGAGGCAGCAGUGGGGAAUAUUGGACAAUGGGCGAAAGCCUGAUCCAGCCAUGCCGCGUGUGUGAAGAAGGUCUUCGGAUUGUAAAGCACUUUAAGGUGGGAGGCGUUACCAGCAGAAGAAGCACCGGCUAACUUCGUGCCAGCAGCCGCGGUAAUUC